UCAUACUGAUAUUAUCUGUAUGUAUCUUUGUAUUUGUACAUACAAAGACUGCAGUAAAAUACAAAUUAGAGUAUUGUUGCCCUGAGGACAAGACCUAGUACUGACAGCAAGAAGAGGUGAAGAGGAAGGAGAUGGAUACAAAAUGCAGAUCUGAGAGCUGAUCUAUGCUCGCUGAUUUUCUGUUAAGGGUGAGGUACUCAAUGGCUGUACUACUAGGGAAGGCAGUACUACUGUGACACAUCUAGAACUUGAACACCCAGAUUUAGGUGCUUAUGAGUUGCUGGGUGCAUGAUGCUUUGGGAUUAAUAUAGCAGCCCUAUAGAGAAGGAUUUGGAGGGUUCUGGUGGACAAGAAGCUGAAUAUGAGCCAGUAGUAGGCACUUGCAGCCCAGAAGGCUGACAGUAUUGUGGGCAGCAUCAAAAGAGUGCUGGCCAUAGGGGAGAAGGGAGGUAAUUGUCUCCCUCUACCCUGUCCUUGCAAAGUCCCAUCUGGAGUACUCUGUCCAGGCCUUGGGCUUCCUAUACAGGGAAGAUGUGAAGCUGCUGGAGCAUGUUCAGAGGAGAGCCACAAAAAUAAUCAGAGGACUGGAGCACCUCUCAAUGAACUGGGCUUAUUCAGUCUGGAAAUGAGAAGACUCCAAAGAAACAUCACUGGAGACUUUAAGUACUUAAAGGGAGCUUAUAGAAAGGAUAGCAAAACAACUUUUUAUAUAGUCUGAUAGUGAAAGGGCCAGAGAGAAUGGUUUGAAUCUAAAAGAAGGGAGAUUUAGAUUAGAUUCUAGGAUGGUAGUUUUUGUUCAGGGUGGUGAGGCCCUGGCACAGGCUUCCCAAAGAAGGGGUGCAUACCCCAUCUCUAGAGGGGCUCAAGGCCAGAUUGAAUGGGGCCCUGGGGCAGUCUGGUUGAAUGGGCUCCCUGGGGGGAGGACAGUGAGUGCACCCUCAGUAAUUUGCAGAUUGCAUCAGGUUGGGAGGAACUGUUGAAUGGCCUGAGGGUAAGAAGGCGCUACAGAGGAAUCUGGACAGGCUGGAUAGCUGGGCUGGGCUGAUCCCAACAGGAUGAAGUUCAACAGGAUCCAGUGCUGGGUCCUGCACUUUAGCUGCAACAACCCCAGGCAAUGCCACAGGCUUAGAGCAGAGUGGAUGGAAGACUGUGUAGAAGAAAUGGUCCUGGGGUCAUUGGUCAAUGCUUGGCUGAAUGUCACCAAGCAGUGUUCAAGCAACCAAGAAGGCCAGUGCCAGAAGCAGCGUAUGUUCUGUUUGGCUCCCCACUUGAGGAUGCAUUUGAAGACAAAAGACAUAUAUGGCAUGAGAUAACUCUGGGAGCUACAUGCAGAUGGAAGCCACUCAGAAGAGCUGUGUGUGAUUUUGUGGCCCUGCCUCCAUACUUAUCUCUGCAGUAAAAUUAAAUCCAUGGUUGCUGGCUGGAGUUUGUUUCAUUCUACAGUUGGAAGAGGCUUUCCCACUCAGUAUCUUCUUUUAUGCCAUUUCUUGGAUUUGCAGUCUUUUAUUUGAAUAAAUCAAUGGAGUGACUCCUUCUACAAGGAUGAGAUUAAUAGGCAGUGAUUCCUUAUCAGUAUGAAGCUGGAUAUUUCAAUUUUUCCUCCAGAGCACAGUAAGCAGAGCAUGUAUGCUCUGAUCAGCAGCACGAACCACAAAGAGUGCCCAGCAGAUGCCCAAAUACCAUGUUUUUCAUCUAAUUUCGAUAUCCUUGACUCAUGCAUCCUGUCUAAGCUAAUGUUAGUUUCCUGACUGUAGUGUGUCUGCAGCACUGGACUGUCAACAAGUGCUUGAGCCAUCCCAGAAGGAUCACUACGCCUCGAUUUUGCUGUGCUUUUAAUGACUCUCUCAAAGAUGCCUCAUUACACCAAUUUAAUUCUGGAAUCUCUAGAAUUACACUGGAAUAGUAGAGCACUUUCCCCCUCCAAUUUAAAAAAAAUAAUUUUGGUGUGACAGUCUAAAACAUUCAGCUUUGCCUUGAUGUCUUAGAAAAACUAAGCUACUACCACAAGCAGUUGCGUUAAUUAUUCUACAUUACACAAUCACAUCCACCCCCUUGAAUGAAACAGCCCUAAACAGGAAGAUCUGAAUUGGAAUAGACCCACUGCUGUUUGUAAGUCUCCAUUUCCCCAAUAACUUGAACUUCUGUUGUAUGUCAACUUAAAGUAGGAGGCAUUGCUUUUGAAGCAGACCUAGUAUGUGCACCUAAUGCUAUAUUCAUGCUCAAAAGUUUCUAGAAAAGACCUUUGGUCCUAUGGACUUCUGCACAGCCAUCAGCUUUAAAAAUAUCAGUGCAGGUACAUUGUUUGGGCAGUGAGAUACCAGAAGUCUAUGGGGUCCCAACUCAGAUUUAUUUCCUUAAGUAGCAGGUUAUUCAACUAAGCAAUUAUUAGCUGAAUAAUAAAGGGAUGGAAGACAGCAUCUCACCUUAAACCAUGACAGCAAAGUCUGAAAUAGUAACAGUGACAAGGGCAGCUGCAUGUGCUAACACUUUGCAUAGAAAUUCACUUAACAUGAGGCACAGAUACAGGGUUUUCUUUGUUUUAAAUAAAGAAUGAGGUGAUUAUCUCAAGAUGCAGUCCUCCCAAGAGAAACAAACUGAAAUGACAAGAAAUCUGAAUGGUAAAUAUGAGGGCAGGAAGCACUAAAGCAGGAAAAGUGCCUUCAAAUAUCAAAAGCUGUGUUUAGCAAGGUAUGAGUCAUACCUUACUACAUCAUAAAACUUCUGUCCUUGUGCUUGUGAAAGGAGGUUAUCACAUUUUCCUUCUUCCAUGAGCUACUUCUGCUGAUCUCAUGGUGUUUAUCCAACCUACUGACAAGCACUUAACCUACUGAAAAAAACUCAAUUAGCCAUUCUAAAACAGGCAGAGUGGUUGCACUCAGCUCCCAUUUCCACUGUGCUGUUCAGGUUGAUUAAGGUUCAUUUUUCAGCCUAGUGAUCUAGUAGCAACGCUAGAGUACUUGAGGCAUUCUAAACCAGUAUCACCACCAGUGUCAUUGGGAUGGCCACGGUAUGUAGAUGCUCCUCCAUUCAGCUCUUAAGCCUUCCUUUCUUUGUAAGAACAAAUUUUCAAAACAAUACCAUUUGACUUUGAUUGUAAUCUUAUUUAAUAAAAAGAUUUAAAAGUGACCAAUGAAGCAAUUCAGUUUAAAAUGCAGCUGAGCAGUGAAAAAUGUUGAGUGAAGUAAAUACCAUAGCCACGUUUGCUCCAUGAAACUGCUUAGGGUGUGCAACACACUACCAGCUUCUGUUAUUUCCAAAUGCUACCGCUGCAAAACUACAGUGAGAAAAAAAAAAAAUAAAAAAAAAUUCUGUAGCUUGAAACUGUGUCUUGAAAUUGCUCAGAGAAGCCUAUGCAGGAACACAAGUUGCACAUCUGAAUAAUGGAGAUGGAAUUUAAUUGUCCUCUUAUUCUGUGAAAGAAAUGUAUAGCUUACAGCCCGCUUGAUAGCUGAAAGGAAGCUAUCAAAGCUAUCAAAGCUGCAGGAGAAAUAAUUAUGUUCUUCCCAGUAUUUUUUAAACUUCUCUCUUAUUAAGCUGAAGCAUUGACUUCUCUUGAUUAUCUGUUCAGACCAUUUAUAACGAAUGUGUACAAAUUAAACAAGAAGCCUCUUCUUACCAUCUGUGCAAGCACUGAUCACAAUAGAAAAGCCUCAGACACAUAAUUUUCAGUGUUGCAAAACUUUUGGAAUUAAGCCGUGUUUAGCAGAUCUCCUAGUUACAUGGCAGAAGGUAGUCCCAGCUCCUGUAAAGACUAUUCAGCACUAUAUAGAUCUAGAAGAGGUAAGAAACAACAUUUAUUUUUGAGCUCUCAUUUCUUACAUUAACUGAGAACUAUACUACUAGAUUUUAUAUAUAAUGGUUUAAUAUAGAACUAACAACAUAUAUAUCUUAUUAUAUUAGUUCAACAUGAUAGUUGUGCUAUCAAACUGGAUAUGAGACCUAUACAAAAUAUCUUGCUACCAUUUGCUGGAUUUUUAUUUUUGCCUCUGUUGACAGUUGACUUUAGAAAAGAAACACUGCUGUGCAAUCUUGAUAAGUAUUAGCUAAAUCUGCUAACAUAUUUGCCCUUUGGCUGUAGAAGACAUUGAAUUAUCCAUCAAGGAAGAAACAGCGAUUAAGACCACCACUGUUUCAGCCGUGGACAUGUUACACUUCCAAUAAUACUACAUUUAAUCAAGAGCCAGUGGUUGUUCUUGGAAACUAUUCAUAUUCUUUUGUAGAAGUUUUCAGCAACUGAGCUGCAAUGCUGUUACAUGGAUGUUUUUCCAUAUUAAAUUUGUUCAAAAUAGCUAAAUAGCUGAUGCAAAUCUUUUGGCACUUAUUUGUAUUACCAUAGCAUUCAGAGUGCAAUGUAAAAUACACCUAUAAGUACACUUGUUUACAAAGAUGGAGGAUGCCCGCAGUUAUCACACUGAAAGUGCUUAUAUAUUUCUGUUGGUGGUUAUUUUUUAUUUAUUGCUGCACACAGAUAAUCUGAUUGCUGUUAGUGAAUCAUAUUUAUAAGUUAUUAUGGGAGAUUGAUGGCAGUAGCGUAUUUAAGAAUGAGGAAAGCUUAUUAUUUUAUGAAUUCAAGUGAUACUGUAUGCACUUGUUUAAGCAGUAAAUGCCUAAACAAGCCUGAAUACAUAAUACUGUUUUCAACUUUGUAGACACAAUAGUUUUUAUUUUAUUUAAGAUUUGUCUUCUUUUUCCACAGUAAGCAGUCUAAAUUCUCAUAUCUUAUUAAUAAAACUGUCAAUCAGA